rnacentral:rRNA from 1 species
ACACAUGCAAGUCUACUUGAAUUUGGGUCCUAGACUUAGAUUUGGGUGGCGGACGGGUGAGUAACGCGUAAAGAACUUGCCUCACAGCUAGGGACAACAUUUGGAAACGAAUGCUAAUACCUGAUAUUAUGAUUAUAGGGCAUCCUAGAAUUAUGAAAGCUAUAUGCGCUGUGAGAGAGCUUUGCGUCCCAUUAGCUAGUUGGAGAGGUAACGGCUCACCAAGGCGAUGAUGGGUAGCCGGCCUGAGAGGGUGAACGGCCACAAGGGGACUGAGACACGGCCCUUACUCCUACGGGAGGCAGCAGUGGGGAAUAUUGGACAAUGGACCGAGAGUCUGAUCCAGCAAUUCUGUGUGCACGAUGACGUUUUUCGGAAUGUAAAGUGCUUUCAGUUGGGAAGAAAAAAAUGACGGUACCAACAGAAGAAGUGACGGCUAAAUACGUGCCAGCAGCCGCGGUAAUACGUAUGUCACGAGCGUUAUCCGGAUUUAUUGGGCGUAAAGCGCGUCUAGGUGGUUAUGUAAGUCUGAUGUGAAAAUGCAGGGCUCAACUCUGUAUUGCGUUGGAAACUGUGUAACUAGAGUACUGGAGAGGUAAGCGGAACUACAAGUGUAGAGGUGAAAUUCGUAGAUAUUUGUAGGAAUGCCGAUGGGGAAGCCAGCUUACUGGACAGAUACUGACGCUGAAGCGCGAAAGCGUGGGUAGCAAACAGGAUUAGAUACCCUGGUAGUCCACGCUGUAAACGAUGAUUACUAGGUGUUGGGGGUCGAACCUCAGCGCCCAAGCAAACGCGAUAAGUAAUCCGCCUGGGGAGUACGUACGCAAGUAUGAAACUCAAAGGAAUUGACGGGGACCCGCACAAGCGGUGGAGCAUGUGGUUUAA